rnacentral:rRNA from 1 species
GAUGAACGCUAGCUACAGGCUUAACACAUGCAAGUCGAGGGGAAACGAUAUUGGAAGCUUGCUUCCGAUAGGCGUCGACCGGCGCACGGGUGAGUAACGCGUAUCCAACCUGCCCAUCACUUGGGGAUAACCUUGCGAAAGUAAGACUAAUACCCAAUGACGUCUCUAGAAGACAUCUGAAGGAGAUUAAAGAUUUAUCGGUGAUGGAUGGGGAUGCGUCUGAUUAGCUUGUUGGCGGGGUAACGGCCCACCAAGGCGACGAUCAGUAGGGGUUCUGAGAGGAAGGUCCCCCACAUUGGGAACUGAGACACGGUCCAAACUCCUACGGGGAGGCAGCAGUGAGGAAUAUUGGUCAAUGGGCGAGAGCCUGAACCAGCCAAGUAGCGUGCAGGAUGACGGCCCUAUGGUUGUAAACUCUUUAUAAAGGAAUAAAGUCGGGUAUGUAUACCCGUUUGCAUGUACUUUAUGGAAUAAGGAUCGGCUAACUCCGUGCCAGCAGCCG